rnacentral:rRNA from 1 species
UACGGGGGGGGCAAGCGUUGUUCGGAAUUACUGGGCGUAAAGGGCUCGUAGGCGGCCAACUAAGUCGGAUGUGAAAUCCCCAGGCUCAACUUGGGAACUGCAUCCGAUACUGGAUGGCUUGAAUUCGGGAGAGGGAUGCAGAAUUCCCGGUGUAGUGGUGAAAUGCGUAGAUAUCGGGAGGAACACCAGUGGCGAAGGCGACUUCCUGGCCUGUUCUUGACGCUGAGGCGCGAAAGCUAGGGGAGCAAACGGG